UUCCAAAUAAAACUCCUAGCCUUUGCGUCUAAGUUUGUUUUCACAGAUAUGAUGCUCUGGCCGUGGUCUUAGAGCCACCAGGGUGCAAGAUAGAAAUGUCUGCAUCUCCCGUAUUUGGAAAGGUGUAAUUAUGCAGCAACU
rnacentral:ncRNA from 1 species